rnacentral:ncRNA from 1 species
GUGACUCUGGAGAAGCUCGACCACGAGUGCCGAAGGUGCAAAGCGGAAUUUCCGCCAAUCUCUCAGGCAAAAGGACAGAGACGA